GCCUAACACAUGCAAGUCGAACGGAAAGGCCCCUUCGGGGGUGCUCGAGUGGCGAACGGGUGAGUAACACGUGGGUGAUCUGCCCUGCACUUUGGGAUAAGCCUGGGAAACUGGGUCUAAUACCGGAUAGGACCAUGCCAUGCAUGUGGUGUGGUGGAAAGCUUUUGCGGUGUGGGAUGGGCCCGCGGCCUAUCAGCUUGUUGGUGGGGUGAUGGCCUACCAAGGCGACGACGGGUAGCCGGCCUGAGAGGGUGUCCGGCCACACUGGGACUGAGAUACGGCCCAGACUCCUACGGGAGGCAGCAGUGGGGAAUAUUGCACAAUGGGCGCAAGCCUGAUGCAGCGACGCCGCGUGAGGGAUGACGGCCUUCGGGUUGUAAACCUCUUUCAGUACCGACGAAGCGCAAGUGACGGUAGGUACAGAAGAAGCACCGGCCAACUACGUGCCAGCAGCCGCGGUAAUACGUAGGGUGCGAGCGUUGUCCGGAAUUACUGGGCGUAAAGAGCUCGUAGGUGGUUUGUCGCGUUGUUCGUGAAAACUCACAGCUUAACUGUGGGCGUGCGGGCGAUACGGGCAGACUGGAGUACUGCAGGGGAGACUGGAAUUCCUGGUGUAGCGGUGGAAUGCGCAGAUAUCAGGAGGAACACCGGUGGCGAAGGCGGGUCUCUGGGCAGUAACUGACGCUGAGGAGCGAAAGCGUGGGGAGCGAACAGGAUUAGAUACCCUGGUAGUCCACGCCGUAAACGGUGGGUACUAGGUGUGGGUUUCCUUCCUUGGGAUCCGUGCCGUAGCUAACGCAUUAAGUACCCCGCCUGGGGAGUACGGCCGCAAGGCUAAAACUCAAAGGAAUUGACGGGGGCCCGCACAAGCGGCGGAGCAUGUGGCUUAAUUCGAUGCAACGCGAAGAACCUUACCUGGGUUUGACAUGCACAGGACGUGCCUAGAGAUAGGUAUUCCCUUGUGGCCUGUGUGCAGGUGGUGCAUGGCUGUCGUCAGCUCGUGUCGUGAGAUGUUGGGUUAAGUCCCGCAACGAGCGCAACCCUUGUCUCAUGUUGCCAGCACGUGAUGGUGGGGACUCGUGAGAGACUGCCGGGGUCAACUCGGAGGAAGGUGGGGAUGACGUCAAGUCAUCAUGCCCCUUAUGUCCAGGGCUUCACACAUGCUACAAUGGCCGGUACAAAGGGCUGCGAUGCCGUGAGGUGGAGCGAAUCCUUUAAAGCCGGUCUCAGUUCGGAUCGGGGUCUGCAACUCGACCCCGUGAAGUCGGAGUCGCUAGUAAUCGCAGAUCAGCAACGCUGCGGUGAAUACGUUCCCGGGCCUUGUACACACCGCCCGUCACGUCAUGAAAGUCGGUAACACCCGAAGCCAGUGGCCUAACCCGUGUGGGAGGGAGCUGUCGAAGGUGGGAUCGGCGAUUGGGACGAAGUCGUAACAAGGUAGCCGU
rnacentral:rRNA from 1 species